rnacentral:rRNA from 1 species
GACGAACGCUGGCGGCGUGCUUAACACAUGCAAGUCGAACGGAAAGGCCCUGCUUGCAGGGUACUCGAGUGGCGAACGGGUGAGUAACACGUGGGUGAUCUGCCCUGCACUUCGGGAUAAGCCUGGGAAACUGGGUCUAAUACCGGAUAGGAGCCAUUUUUAGUGUGAUGGUUGGAAAGUUUUUUCGGUGUAGGAUGAGCUCGCGGCCUAUCAGCUUGUUGGUGGGGUAAUGGCCUACCAAGGCGGCGACGGGUAGCCGGCCUGAGAGGGUGGACGGCCACAUUGGGACUGAGAUACGGCCCAGACUCCUACGGGAGGCAGCAGUGGGGAAUAUUGCACAAUGGGCGCAAGCCUGAUGCAGCGACGUCGCGUGGGGGAUGACGGCCUUCGGGUUGUAAACUCCUUUCGCUAGGGACGAAGCUUUUGUGACGUUACCUAGAUAAGAAGCACCGGCUAACUACGUG